CCGGUGAUCUAGCCAUGGGCAGGUUGAAGGUUGGGUAACACUAACUGGAGGACCGAACCGACUAAUGUUGAAAAAUUAGCGGAUGACUUGUGGCUGGGGGUGAAAGGCCAAUCAAACCGGGAGAUAGCUGGUUCUCCCCGAAAGCUAUUUAGGUAGCGCCUCGUGAAUUCAUCUUCGGGGGUAGAGCACUGUUUCGGCUAGGGGGGUCAUCCCGACUUACCAACCCGAUGCAAACUACGAAUACCGAAGAAUGUUAUCACGGGAGACACACGGCGGGUGCUAACGUCCGUCGUGAAGAGGGAAACAACCCAGACCGCCAGCUAAGGUCCCA
rnacentral:rRNA from 1 species